CAGAGUAAAUGGGGAAUUUGAUUGACUAAUACAGCUUUCACCUCAAUAAUAAAUUUUAUACCCAUAUUUAAUACCAGUUGCUAUGGGAUUUUUUCCUCUAAGUAUGCAACAUCUGGUGUUGUUUAUACAAGAAUGAUGAAGUGCAUGUACACAUGUAAAAAUAAGGCAAUAAAACCAAAUGAAUUAAA